rnacentral:rRNA from 1 species
GAUGAACGCUGGCGGCGUGCCUAAUACAUGCAAGUCGAGCGAACGGACGAGAAGCUUGCUUCUCUGACGUUAGCGGCGGACGGGUGAGUAACACGUGGAUAACCUACCUAUAAGACUGGGAUAACUUCGGGAAACCGUAGCUAAUACCGGAUAAUAUUUUGAACCGCAUGGUUCAAUAGUGAAAGACGGUUUUGCUGUCACUUAUAGAUGGAUCCGCGCUGCAUUAGCUAGUUGGUAAGGUAACGGCUUACCAAGGCAACGAUGCAUAGCCGACCUGAGAGGGUGAUCGGCCACACUGGAACUGAGACACGGUCCAGACUCCUACGGGAGGCAGCAGUAGGGAAUCUUCCGCAAUGGGCGAAAGCCUGACGGAGCAACGCCGCGUGAGUGAUGAAGGUCUUCGGAUCGUAAAACUCUGUUAUUAGGGAAGAACAAAUGUGUAAGUAACUAUGCACGUCUUGACGGUACCUAAUCAGAAAGCCACGGCUAACUACGUG